rnacentral:misc_RNA from 1 species
GAUGAAGAACGUAGCGAAAUGCGAUAAGUAGUGUGAAUUGCAGAAUUCAGUGAAUCAUCGAAUCUUUGAACGCACAUUGCGCCCCAUGGUAUUCCGUGGGGCAUGCCUGUUCGCGCGUCAUUUACCCCCUCAAGCUCCGCUUGGUGUUGGGCGUCUGUCCCGCUUCGCGCGCGGACUCGCCCCAAAGGUAUUGGCAGCGGUCGUGCCAGCUUCUCGCGCAGCACAUUGCGCUUCUCGAGGCACCGGUGGGCCCGCGUCCAUCAAGCUCACCCCCCCAGUUUGACCUCGGAUCAGGUAGGGAUACCCGCUGAACUUAAGCAUAUCAAUAAGCGGAGGA